UACGUAGGGUGCAAGCGUUAAUCGGAAUUACUGGGCGUAAAGCGUGCGCAGGCGGCUAUGCAAGACAGAUGUGAAAUCCCCGGGCUCAACCUGGGAACUGCAUUUGUGACUGCAUAGCUAGAGUACGGUAGAGGGGGAUGGAAUUCCGCGUGUAGCAGUGAAAUGCGUAGAUAUGCGAAGGAACACCGAUGGCGAAAGGCAGCUCA
rnacentral:rRNA from 1 species